CUGAUCUCUCUUUCACAGAAAGUCACUGGGGUGUGUGAUGGGAAUUGUAAAGUAAGUAUUGGUGAUGGUUUCACCAUAACAGGUGAUAUGAUAUCCACUGUCCACGUCAUCCAAAACCUAAGUUUGUUUGGCUUCAGAGUUGCAGGACAUUCCAAUUAUUCCACCUUUCUCAGCUUCCUACCCUUCGUGAUCCACUCCAGCCAACAUGUAAGGAGAAUCUGGGGGAGUAAAGGAGGGCAAAUUGGAAAAUGUCGCUUCUGUUACCCAGUCUCUGCCCAUUUUGGCCUUAAUAAAAUUUUGAUCAAAAUUUAAAAAUUAGGAAUAUGUGUGUUUCACCAUUUAUCUGUGAAGGAAAGAAUCCUGCCUUAUGCCUAAAAAUAUUUUAAUAAUGUGGUAACAUUACCACUAAUAAUAGAACCUGCCUACGCACCAACACAAUUCCAAUCUAAGAGUUAGUCAUAUCCUCCCAUCAAGACACUGUGUGCAGAUUUUCUUCAGUCAUAUUCAGAUGGGAUUUCAGGUUCCAGUCUGAAGACAAAGAGAUUAUAGAUCAGAAGAGACAUCUAAUUUCAACUAAAUCAUGCUUGCAAACAAAGCAACACACACACACACACACACACACACACACACACACACACACACACACGAAACCCUGCCUGUUUUCAUUUUUAUUAUCCCAUCUGGCACUACCCAGAUAAGAAAAUAACUAAAAUAAAUAUUUUCCAUUAACCAUUUGCAUAAAUCAUGAUUUACUCUCACAGGUAUCUCAACAGUACCCACACCGGUGAUAGGACUGAUAAUGUUGAUUGACUGUUUACUAUCUGCCAUGCACUUCUAGAAGAGCUUGACUUGGGUUUUCUCAUUUGUUUCUCAAAACAUUCUUAUGAGACAGACACCAUUAUUAUCCCCACAUUACAGAUGAGGAUACCAAGGCACCACAGAGCUAAGUGGUCGAGCCGGGAGUGGGCACCACCCAAUCCAGCUUGUGCUACUGAACACGUGCUCUCUGAUCACUGGAAUCCUGGCAGUUUGAUGGGAGAGACCUACUUCAAAAAAUGCACAGUGCCAUCAAUGAUGGAGCUGACAAUAAUCACAAAUAACAACAACUGAAUGUGUCUGUCCUUUCAAUCAAGCACAGCCCAUGGUACUUGUCAAAGCCCUUCUUUCUGUACCCAUUUGAAAGGAUGCAUUUUUAGGCUUGAGCUCGAAGUCCCCAUUCAGAAUGAACAGAACCUCCCUAUGUCCCACAGACAUAGCAGAUACAUUCAGGUCUUUCUCUUUGGUUUGUCCUGCCUCACAUGCACCCUCCUCUCCAUCCCCCAUCCUUUCCUAACUAUCCUUUAUCCUAAAACUGCUCAUUCUAAGCCUUCAGCCCACAUUAACCUCUUGCUUUCUCUUGUAUUUUCUCUUCUAUCCAGACACUGAUCCCCAGACCCUGGAAGGUUUUCUGACUUUGAAUAAAAUAACAACUUCUAGAUCUUGUCCUGGGCCAUGGUCUGUCUGCUCUGUGACCUCCAGAUGAUGGAGAACUCCCGACCCAUUUCCUCUUGGUGGGAUGAGGUUUGCAAACUUCCUAGGAAAUCACUACACAUCAGUUGGGGCUGGCUGUUCCUGUGGAAAACCCACUCAACAUUGCCAAAGCCUCCAUCCCCUUUCUCGCUCAUCCCAUAAAGAAUGGAAGUUUGUGGUCUCCCUUCUGCUCUACUGUUUGUACCUUAUGAUAAGGGGUCUGAUGUGUCUGUGUGUUUCUCUCUGAUUUCUGUCCUUCUUGUCUAUUUUAAAACUCUGGCUGUUAUUGUGUAUUCACCGCGAGGUAAGUACCAGAUUCCAGGGGAAAUCAAGAUUCUUCCCUGACUACCCAAGCAGAGUGAUGCUUCUUUUUGAUUCAGUCAUAGUGUUUUCUGUUUCGUGUAACACAACUCCUUAGUAAAGGGUAAGCACCAUGUUUCCU
rnacentral:lncRNA from 1 species